CCAUUGGAUCUAAUAAGAUCCAUCAAAACCAAUAACAGCUUUUUUU
rfam:Daphnia pulex DAPPTscaffold_3_Cont189, whole genome shotgun sequence.